rnacentral:rRNA from 1 species
UUUAACAGAUGCCGCCCUGAUGCGCCGGACCCCGGAUCCCGUCCGAUCCCGGAAGCUAAGCAGGGUCGGGCCUGGUGAGUACUUGGAUGGGAGACCGCCCAGGAAGACCGGGUGCUGUAGGCG